UCUUAACUCCCAGUACCAGUGGAUGUGACCUUAUUUGGAAAUAGAGUCUUUGCAGAUGUAAUCAAGUUAAGACAAGGCCAUACUAGGUGAGGGUAGUCCCUAAAUCCAGUGAAUAGUAUCCGCAUAGAGAGAGAGAUUUUGACACAGAGACACCCAGAGGGGAGAUAGCCAUACAGAUGGAGGCAGAGAUUAGGAUUAUACUGCCACAAAUCAGGGAAUGGCACGGAUUGCUGGCAACCAACAGAAAGUAGGAAGAGACAAGAAAGGAUUCUUCCCUUGAGCCUUCAAAGAGAGUGUGUCCCAGCAUUGAUUUCCACCUUCUAUCUUUUGGAACUGAGAAAGAAUAACUUUCUCUAGUUCUAAGCCGCCCAGUUGGUGGGACUUUGUUAGGGUAGCCCUAGGAAAUGAAGGCAUCUUGCCUGUUCACUUCUGUUGGCAGUAAUAUUCCACCUAUGUUACACCUUAAAUGAGAUGUGAAGCAGAGAAACCGAUAGAAUAGGAAGGCUAGGGAUUAAAAAACAACCUCGUGCAUCCCCUUAAAAUAAGGUACUGAACAGAAACACCUGCAUGGCUGAGAGCUGGGGCUAUAUAGAUGGUAGGAGUGUAGCCUGGUCUUGGGUUUCUUCCCAUCAACAAAGGAGGCACCAAGGCCACCUCGUUCCCUUUGGGCCACUCUGGCUCAGACCUGGGGCGGCAGAGUGAAUCUACCAGACGGGAUCUUUUUCAAAGUUCAUAAAAAUGCAGAAAUUCAGUCUUCGUGGGGGAAGUUAACAUUCACCAAAGAAUUCCCUGUGGGUUCAUUUUCUUUGGGGUGUGACAAACAUCUCUAUCUUCUGUCAGUGAAACCGUCUUCUAGGAGUGAAGAUACCCAGAUACACUCAGAGUCGACAUUCCCUCAUUUCUUUUCCUAAUUCUGUUGUGAUGCAAAUGCUGGUUUUCUUACACAGGAGAAAGUGUUGCUGGCGCCCAGUGAAUUCCUACCUUCUGCUCAGGGUAGUACUUCCUUUGUAUGGUUGCAUUAGUCAUUAUCCAUUUACAGUCAUUUACAUUUUGAAAUCCUUAUCCUGCUGCAUCAAAGUAUUAAUGGAGGGGGAUAUAGGGCAGCUGCACCAAGGUAAUUUACUUGGCUUCUGAAAACCUCCUCCAGAUAAUCCAGAAAAAUCUGUCACAUGGGACCCCAAUUUGUCUGAUUACCUUUUUCUGACAGAUGCUAGGGUCAUAUGCUCAGACUUUUAUUUUUGUUGCUUUCAUUUGGUUAAUUCUAUUAGUGGCUUACUCCGGACAUGAAAGUCAUUUGCUAUUAAAAACAAAUGUCAUCUCAAAAGGAAAAUCCCAAGGCCGCCUUUCCUUCUGAUCUCCCUGUCAACAGCAGAGUCUAGAUGUUCAAAUCAAAAGUGUUGCUUUGCAUUAAUUGUCUUCUAUCCACUGUACCUCUUUAGUAUUUGGGAAAUAAUGCCUCUGAGUGAAGGAGGAAACAGAGGUCCUGAUUAUUGGGUGAAUUUGAAGCUGUCCCUCAGAUCGGAUCUGGAUGGCACAACCGAGUCUGAUGUCAACCCUGAAAAUUUUGCUGCUUAAAUUAAGAGAUGUUUUGGAGACUUCCUGAGGAUGAUGAGAGGCAUUCAGCAUGGAGCCACACAUGUGAUGGAAAAAUUGACGUGCAAAGAAGUGAAUGAAGUAUUUUGCUCAAGGUCACACGGCGAGUCAUUGGCAGAGCUGGGAUUCAAACCAGAGUCCUUGGGAUUAAUCACCAGGCUACACAGGUGUUAAUGCAGAAAUAAGGAUUGCGUGGUGGUCAACGGAGUCUGGGAGUCUGUGGAAUAAAAUAUUCCUGUGGAUGGUCUUUCUAAGGGUCUCGGUUGUCUCUUUCCUUUUCCAGGAUUCUUGGACUAAAACACGAAAACAAACAAGCAAACAAAAGGUGAAAAGUGACUGCGGGAGCUCCUGAGAGUAAUCAAAGGAGAACAUUUUAAGAAUUGAUCUCAUUUGACCAUUUGCCAUAUUGUAUCUGUUCCUCAUUUGCAAAUAACAGAACCACAGUGGGAGUGGAUUCUUAAAAGUUCUACACAGUCUUCAGACUAACCAAACUGUAGAGGAUCAAGGAUGAUGGAUAACCAGUUACAUGAAACUUUCAUCUGGAGAACGGGAUGGGGGGCGCUGUUCAAUUAUCCACUGAUUUUUUUUUAAAGAUGCCAAGCAAAGCCUUUGGUCAGAAAAACAGCCUCUAGCAAGCAAUGCAUUUUACAUAAAAGAAACCUUCCCAGGAAAGAUGGCUAUGAAUUUAAUUAUAAGCUCUUCUCUUUGCAUAAAUUUGAUUCAGUCUAAAUAAGACUUGAAACAUGGAACAAUGUCCAUGGAGUACAAUUCACCAAUUGUUACUUUAAUUAUGUUCACAUGCAUAAUUCAUAAAUAUACUGCAUGGACAAGAGGAAAGAAAAGAUAAGAAGGAACAAAAGAGAUGAAUUUUCCAUCAAACAAUUACUAUAUAAAUAGACAACAUAUUUAAUACAUUAGUUAGCAAAGUGAUUCUUUGUUCUUGCCAGUCUGGGGCUUAAAAAUGUUAAAAGAAUCCCCAAAC